AUUGAACGCUGGCGGCAUGCCUUACACAUGCAAGUCGAACGGCAGCGCGGACUUCGGUCUGGCGGCGAGUGGCGAACGGGUGAGUAAUACAUCGGAACGUACCCUGUUGUGGGGGAUAACUAGUCGAAAGAUUAGCUAAUACCGCAUACGACCUGAGGGUGAAAGUGGGGGACCGCAAGGCCUCACGCAGCAGGAGCGGCCCAUUUCUGAUGAGCUAGUUGGUGGGGUAAAGGCCCACCAAGGCGACGAUCAGUAGCUGGUCUGAGAGGACGAUCAGCCACACUGGGACUGAGACACGGCCCAGACUCCUACGGGAGGCAGCAGUGGGGAAGUUGGGGCAAUGGGGGCAACCCUGAUCCAGCAAUGCCGCGUGUGUGAAGAAGGCCUUCGGGUUGUAAAGCACUUUUGUCCGGAAAGAAAUCGCGCUGGUUAAUACCUGGCGUGGAUGACGGUACCGGAAGAAUAAGCACCGGCUAACUACGUGCCAGCCGCCGCAGUAA
rnacentral:rRNA from 1 species